CCUACGGGAGGCAGCAGUGAGGAAUAUUGGUCAAUGGGCGCGAGCCUGAACCAGCCAAGUCGCGUGAGGGAAGACGGUCCUAUGGAUUGUAAACCUCUUUUGUCGGGGAGCAAAAGACGCCACGCGUGGCGUUCCGAGAGUACCCGAAGAAAAAGCAUCGGCUAACUCCGUGCCAGCAGCCGCGGUAAUACGGAGGAUGCGAGCGUUAUCCGGAUUUAUUGGGGUUAAAGGGUGCGCAGGCGGAAGAUCAAGUCAGCGGUAAAAUUGAGAGGCUCAACCUCUUCGAGCCGUUGAAACUGGUGUUCUUGAGUGAGUGAGAAGUAUGCGGAAUGCGUGGUGUAGCGGUGAAAUGCAUAGAUAUCACGCAGAACUCCGAUUGCGAAGGCAGCAUACCGGCGCUCAACUGACGCUCAUGCACGAAAGUGUGGGGAUCGAACAGGAUUAGAUACCCUUGUAGUC
rnacentral:rRNA from 1 species